AUUGAACGCUGGCGGCAGGCCUAACACAUGCAAGUCGAGCGCGCGGCGCACGGGUGUGAAAUGUCUGGGAAACUGCCUGAUGGUGGGGUAUAACUACUGGAAACGGUAUCUAAUACCGUAUACCAUCAGAUGUGCCCAGAUGGGAUUCGCUAGUAGGUGGGGUAAUGUCCCCCCUAGGCGACGAUCCCUAGCUGGUCUGAGAGGAUGACCAGCCACACUGGAACUGAGACACGGUCCAGACUCCUACGGGAGGCAGCAGUGGGGAAUAUUGCACAAUGGGCGCAAGCCUGAUGCAGCCAUGCCGCGUGUGUGAAGAAGGCCUUCGGGUUGUAAAGCACUUUCAGCGGGGAGGCGUUACUCGCAGAAGAAGCACCGGCUAACUCCGUGCCAGCCGCCGCGGUAAUAC
rnacentral:rRNA from 1 species